rnacentral:tRNA from 1 species
AUGAAUUGCCUGAUAAAAGGGCUACCUUGAUAGGGUAGAUUAUGAAAUAAAUAUUUCAUUCAUUA